rnacentral:rRNA from 1 species
UACAGAGGUCCCAAGCGUUGUUCGGAUUCACUGGGCGUAAAGGGUGCGUAGGCGGUCGGGUAAGUCUGAUGUGAAAUCUCACAGCUUAACUGUGAAACUGCAUUGGAUACUAUCCGACUCGAGGAAUGGAGGGGAGACUGGAAUUCUCGGUGUAGCAGUGAAAUGCGUAGAUAUCGAGAGGAACACCAGUGGCGAAGGCGAGUCUCUGGACAUUUCCUGACGCUGGAGCACGAAAGCCAGGGGAGCAAACGGG